GGCUCAGAACGAACGCUGGCGGCGUGCUUAACACAUGCAAGUCGAACGCGAAAGGGACUUCGGUCCUGAGUAAAGUGGCGCACGGGUGAGUAACGCGUGGAUAAUCUACCCAAUGGUCUGGGAUAACAUUUCGAAAGGGGUGCUAAUACCGGAUAAGACCACGGAGUCUUUGGACUCUGCGGUAAAAGGUGGGGACCUUCGGGCCUACCGCAAUUGGAUGAGUCCGCGUACCAUUAGCUAGUUGGUAGGGUAAAGGCCUACCAAGGCGACGAUGGUUAGCUGGUCUGAGAGGAUGAUCAGCCACACUGGAACUGAGACACGGUCCAGACUCCUACGGGAGGCAGCAGUGGGGAAUUUUGCGCAAUGGGGGAAACCCUGACGCAGCAACGCCGCGUGAGUGAUGAAGGCCUUCGGGUCGUAAAGCUCUGUCAGAGGGGAAGAAAUGCGGGGUGCUAAUAUCACUUCCGCUUGACGGUACCCUCAAAGGAAGCACCGGCUAACUCCGUGCCAGCAGCCGCGGUAAUACGGAGGGUGCGAGCGUUGUUCGGAAUUAUUGGGCGUAAAGCGCGUGUAGGCGGUUUGUUAAGUCUGACGUGAAAGCCCCGGGCUCAACCUGGGAAGUGCAUUGGAAACUGGCAGACUUGAAUACGGGAGAGGGUAGUGGAAUUCCUAGUGUAGGAGUGAAAUCCGUAGAUAUUAGGAGGAACACCGGUGGCGAAGGCGGCUGCCUGGACCGAUAUUGACGCUGAGACGCGAAAGCGUGGGGAGCAAACAGGAUUAGAUACCCUGGUAGUCCACGCCGUAAACGAUGAGUACUAGGUGUUGCGGGUAUUGACCCCUGCAGUGCCGCAGCUAACGCAUUAAGUACUCCGCCUGGG
rnacentral:rRNA from 1 species